rnacentral:rRNA from 1 species
UACAGAGGGUGCUAGCGUUAUUCGGAAUUACUGGGCGUAAAGGGCGCGUAGGCGGCUUAGUAAGUCUGGUGUGAAAUCCCUGGGCUCAACCCAGGAAGUGCACCGGAUACUGCUUCGCUAGAGUGCAGGAGAGGAGAGUGGAAUUCCAGGUGUAGAGGUGAAAUUCGUAGAUAUCUGGAGGAACAACAGUGGCGAAGGCGACUCUCUGGACUGUAACUGACGCUGAGGCGCGAAAGCGUGGGGAGCAAACAGG